rnacentral:rRNA from 1 species
UUGGAGGGCAAGUCUGGUGCCAGCAGCCGCGGUAAUUCCAGCUCCAAUAGCGUAUAUUAAAGUUGUUGCAGUUAAAAAGCUCGUAGUUGAACUUCGGGAUCAAUGAGUUGGUCGUGCCAUUGGUAUGAACUGGCUUUAUUGGUUCUCACCUUCUAAUGAACCAUAAUGUCAUUCAUUUGAUGUUUUGGGGAAUUAGGACUGUUACCUUGAAAAAAUUAGAGUGUUUAAAGCAGGCUCACGCUUGAAUACAUUAGCAUGGAAUAAUGAAAUAGGACAUCGCAUUCUAUUUUGUUGGUUUCUAGGAUCGAUGUAAUGAUUAAUAGGGAUAGCUGGGGGCAUUAGUAUUCAAUUGUCAGAGGUGAAAUUCUUGGAUUUAUUGAAGACUAACUACUGCGAAAGCAUUUGCCAAGGAUGUUUUCAUUAAUCAAGAACGAAAGUUAGGGGAUCGAAGACGAUCAGAUACCGUCGUAGUCUUAACCAUAAACUAUGCCGACUAGGGAUCGGAUGAUGUUGAUUUUUUAAUGACUCAUUCGGCGCCUUACGGGAAAC